AGCGAACGCUGGCGGCAGGCUUAACACAUGCAAGUCGAGCGGGCACUUCGGUGUCAGCGGCAGACGGGUGAGUAACACGUGGGAACGUACCCUUUGGUUCGGAAUAACGCUGGGAAACUAGCGCUAAUACCGGAUACGCCCUUUUGGGGAAAGGCUUGCUGCCGAAGGAUCGGCCCGCGUCUGAUUAGCUAGUUGGUGGGGUAAUGGCCUACCAAGGCGACGAUCAGUAGCCGGUCUGAGAGGAUGAUCAGCCACACUGGGACUGAGACACGGCCCAGACUCCUACGGGAAGCAGCAGUGGGGAAUAUUGGACAAUGGGCGCAAGCCUGAUCCAGCCAUGCCGCGUGAGUGAUGAAGGCCUUAGGGUUGUAAAGCUCUUUUGUCCGGGACGAUAAUGACGGUACCGGAAGAAUAAGCCCCGGCUAACUUCGUG
rnacentral:rRNA from 1 species